rnacentral:lncRNA from 1 species
UCUUGUCCUCUAGCCUCAACCAACUGACAAGUCUCAGUCACCAGGCCUUGCCUCUCUGAGAGCAUAGAAAGAACCCAGAAUCCCAAGCGGCAGGAGCACUGGGGGACACCCGGGUGGAGCCUUCCCUGGCGCAAGUACUGCAGGAGAGGGAUGAAGCCAUUGCGAAGAAGCGCGCGGUGGAAGAGGAGCUGGACUCCUGUCGAGCCAGGCUGCGCACAGUGGAGGCUCAGCUGCUGGAGGUCCUGCAGGAGAAACUGAAGCUGAAACAGGAGGUGGAGGCCUGGGAGGUAGGGUGGGGCCUCUGACUCGGGAGACCUGGAAGACGCCCCUCCGUCGCUCCCCCCCCACCCCACCCCCAGGGAUUGCCUCGGACCUGCUCUCUCCCCCGUGCCCAGGAAGACAUGCAGCAUAUGGUUCGAGAGCGGGUGCGGAGUCAGCUGCAGGAAGAGUCCAGAGGCACCCUGGGAGCACGGGAGAACACAAGCGCGGGCAGGGGUUCCUGGAUUCCACUCUCCCGGGGCCAGUGGGGGCGACGGUGGUGAAAACGGAUCCAGGGCUUAAGGGGGAACUGUCUUUAUUCAUUAAAGUGAUGGGCCACUUCUGUA